UACGGGGGGGGCAAGCGUUGUUCGGAAUUACUGGGCGUAAAGGGCUCGUAGGCGGCCAACUAAGUCAGACGUGAAAUCCCUAGGCUCAACCUAGGAACUGCGUCUGAUACUGGAUGGCUUGAAUCCGGGAGAGGGAUGCAGAAUUCCAGGUGUAGCGGUGAAAUGCGUAGAUAUCUGGAGGAACACCGGUGGCGAAGGCGGCAUCCUGGACCGGUAUUGACACUGAGGCGCGAAAGCCAGGGGAGCAAACGGG
rnacentral:rRNA from 1 species